rnacentral:rRNA from 1 species
AAUUUUUAAUCAUUUUUUUAAAAUUAUUAAAAUUCCAUUCAAAUUCUUUUUCAAUUAAAUAAUUUCAAUUUUAAUAUUCAUUUAAAUAAAUUUAUUGUAAUUCAUUUAUUCUAAAUUAUUAAUUACAUCUUGAUUUGAUUUAAUUUUAUUUCUAAAACUUUAAAUAUUAUAAAUUUAUAAAAAAUAUUUUUUUAACAAUGAUAUAUAAAUUUUUAAAUUAAGUAAAUUAAUUCGUGGAUUAUCAAUUAUUAAACAAAUUCCUCUAAAUAAAAUAAAAUACUGCCAAAUUAUUUAAGUUUCGUAUAAUAAUAUAAAUUACUAUUUUAGUAUUAAAACAUUUAAUUUUAUAAUAGGGUA